rnacentral:rRNA from 1 species
AUUGAACGCUGGCGGCAGGCCUAACACAUGCAAGUCGAACGAGUGGCGGACGGGUGAGUAAUGUCUGGGAAACUGCCUGAUGGAGGGGGAUAACUACUGGAAACGGUAGCUAAUACCGCAUACCAUCGGAUGUUCCCAGAUUGGAUUAGCUAGUAGGUGGGGUAAAGGCUCACCUAGGCGACGGUCCCUAGCUGGUCUGAGAGGAUGACCAGCCACACUGGAACUGAGACACGGUCCAGACUCCUACGGGAGGCAGAAGUGGGAAAGAUUGCACAAGGGGCGCAAGCCUGAUGCAGAAAUGCCGCGUGUAGGAAGAAGGCCUUCGGGUUUUAAAGUACUUUCAGCGGGGAGGCGUUACCCGCAGAAGAAGCACCGGCUAACUCCGUGCCAGCAGCCGCGGUAAUAC